CGUCCGGGUCAAAUACAGGACACUUGAGACACGGCUUUAGCACAAAACAAUGUUAUAACAUAUUUUUACCAUUACAAAUGUUAUAAAUAUCACUGAGCACAUCUGCCAGUUGUUAUGCACAAGCCACAAGAGCUCGGCCGAGGAUGCCUUCAGGUCCAGGUGCCUUUGGUGGCUUAAGAUUUACACACAUCCACCCUGAAUACUGCUGGUGACGCAACAAUGAUGAAGACUGUGGGUAAAACACUUCGUCAUGGCCUUUUAUUUGCUCUAAACUUGACUUACGUUUUAGGGCAGAAAGAAAACGUAAAGUUUGGGACCUCAGAAGAACGUUUUGUUUUAGAAUUGGUGCGUCUCAAUCUGCUAACAUGCUCAUCUUUCAUUGUGUCAUACACACUUAGUUUUUGUGUUGUAAGUGUCAAAUUGUCGGCCUUUUACAUUUAUAUUGUGUACUUUUAUUUUCUUCAAAUUCAGAAUAAAUGUUUUUUUUCUUCAUGUGAAUGGCAUCUGGUUUUGUGCACACUGACAUAAUCUUACACUGUGUGGUGACCCACAAGUAACGCUGUAGAGACAUUCACCAGGGGACUGUACCUUUAAGGGAAAGUGUUUUGAUGUGAGGUUAACGUGCAUGUCCGCAGUAGUUCUCACGUGUUGUUUUGUGUUAUUGAAGUGGAGAGUAAAGCUGACUCAACGCAUCUCCGUCUCCUGUCUCGUCUCUUUUCACCCUCCACAACUGUUUGCUUUGCGGCUGAGUGUCAGUGAGAGUACGAGUAGGUGUGUGUGUAGCGGCAGCGUCCUCAAGAGAUUGCAGUUGUAGUUGGAUCGCGUCCCUUCGUCUGUGUCCGAGCUGUCUCGUUCCUUUGCUCCUUCAAACUCAGUCAAAGAAUUCAGCCUUCCAGCCCACGAUUUGGGUUGUUAUUUACGUUGUUAACUUCCGACCGUAGUUAUCAGUGAAAAGUCACUUUACUGCCUUAACUUUCACACUUUAAAAGGUUGAUCAAUGUCUUACUGCGGUUGUGACCGUUUUAAAGAUCGUUUAUACUUGUUAUUAUGAACAGAAACUGAUCAACGUGAGUUCAAGUAGACAAAUUAUGAACCUGAUCUUGUCACGGCCAGUUUACCAAUGACCCAAAUGCAGACAGACGGCAGGUUAGGUGGAAAGAAAAGCUUUAUUUUAUGGGUACAUGGAUGCAGUUGAGGAAGCAGUGACAAGGAAGUGUACAAAGUGCUGGCUGGGCGGCGAUGCGACGUGAAGAGACGAUCGGGCGAUGAGACAACCGGAAACCGGGAUAAUUCAGCUGGCGGUGACGAGGGCUUGAUGAUGGACCAAUGAGGAGCCCAGAUGCCAGCUGAUUGCAACCACACACACACACACACACACACACACACACACACACACACAGAA